rnacentral:rRNA from 1 species
UUAAGCGACUAAGCGUACACGGUGGAUGCCCUGGCAGUCAGAGGCGAUGAAGGACGUGCUAAUCUGCGAAAAGCGCCGGCGAGGUGAUAUGAACCCUUGACCCGGCGAUGUCCGAAUGGGGAAACCCAGUGUGAUUCGUCACACUAUCGUUAACUGAAUACAUAGGUUAACGAGGCGAACCGGGGGAACUGAAACAUCUAAGUACCCCGAGGAAAAGAAAUCAACCGAGAUUCCCCCAGUAGCGGCGAGCGAACGGGGAGCAGCCCAGAGUCUGAAUCAGCUUGUGUGUUAGUGGAAGCGUCUGGAAAGUCGCACGGUACAGGGUGACAGUCCCGUACACGAAAGCACACAGGCUGUGAACUCGAAGAGUAGGGCGGGACACGUGGUAUCCUGUCUGAAUAUGGGGGGACCAUCCUCCAAGGCUAAAUACUCCUGACUGACCGAUAGUGAACCAGUACCGUGAGGGAAAGGCGAAAAGAACCCCGGCGAGGGGAGUGAAAAAGAACCUGAAACCGUGUACGUACAAGCAGUGGGAGCACCUUCGGGUGUGACUGCGUACCUUUUGUAUAAUGGGUCAGCGACUUAUAUUCUGUAGCAAGGUUAACCGUAUAGGGGAGCCGAAGGGAAACCGAGUCUUAACUGGGCGUUAAGUUGCAGGGUAUAGACCCGAAACCCGGUGAUCUAGCCAUGGGCAGGUUGAAGGUUGGGUAACACUAACUGGAGGACCGAACCGACUAAUGUUGAAAAAUUAGCGGAUGACCUGUGGCUGGGGGUGAAAGGCCAAUCAAACCGGGAGAUAGCUGGUUCUCCCCGAAAGCUAUUUAGGUAGCGCCUCGUGAACUCAUCUUCGGGGGUAGAGCACUGUUUCGGCUAGGGGGCCAUCCCGGCUUACCAACCCGAUGCAAACUACGAAUACCGAAGAAUGUUAUCACGGGAGACACACGGCGGGUGCUAACGUCCGUCGUGAAGAGGGAAACAACCCAGACCGCCAGCUAAGGUCCCAAAGUCAUGGUUAAGUGGGAAACGAUGUGGGAAGGCCCAGACAGCCAGGAUGUUGGCUUAGAAGCAGCCAUCAUUUAAAGAAAGCGUAAUAGCUCACUGGUCGAGUCGGCCUGCGCGGAAGAUGUAACGGGGCUAAACCAUGCACCGAAGCUGCGGCAGCGACACUAUGUGUUGUUGGGUAGGGGAGCGUUCUGUAAGCCGUUGAAGGUGGCCUGUGAGGGUUGCUGGAGGUAUCAGAAGUGCGAAUGCUGACAUAAGUAACGAUAAAGCGGGUGAAAAGCCCGCUCGCCGGAAGACCAAGGGUUCCUGUCCAACGUUAAUCGGGGCAGGGUGAGUCGACCCCUAAGGCGAGGCCGAAAGGCGUAGUCGAUGGGAAACAGGUUAAUAUUCCUGUACUUGGUGUUACUGCGAAGGGGGGACGGAGAAGGCUAUGUUAGCCGGGCGACGGUUGUCCCGGUUUAAGCAUGUAGGCGGAGGUUCCAGGUAAAUCCGGUACCUUUUAACGCUGAGGUGUGAUGACGAGGCACUACGGUGCUGAAGUAACAAAUGCCCUGCUUCCAGGAAAAGCCUCUAAGCAUCAGGUAACACGAAAUCGUACCCCAAACCGACACAGGUGGUCAGGUAGAGAAUACCAAGGCGCUUGAGAGAACUCGGGUGAAGGAACUAGGCAAAAUGGUGCCGUAACUUCGGGAGAAGGCACGCUGAUAUGUAGGUGAAGCCCCUGCGGGUGGAGCUGAAAUCAGUCGAAGAUACCAGCUGGCUGCAACUGUUUAUUAAAAACACAGCACUGUGCAAACACGAAAGUGGACGUAUACGGUGUGACGCCUGCCCGGUGCCGGAAGGUUAAUUGAUGGGGUUAGCGGUAACGCGAAGCUCUUGAUCGAAGCCCCGGUAAACGGCGGCCGUAACUAUAACGGUCCUAAGGUAGCGAAAUUCCUUGUCGGGUAAGUUCCGACCUGCACGAAUGGCGUAAUGAUGGCCAGGCUGUCUCCACCCGAGACUCAGUGAAAUUGAACUCGCUGUGAAGAUGCAGUGUACCCGCGGCAAGACGGAAAGACCCCGUGAACCUUUACUAUAGCUUGACACUGAACACUGGUCCUUGAUGUGUAGGAUAGGUGGGAGGCUUUGAAGCGUGGACGCCAGUCUGCGUGGAGCCAUCCUUGAAAUACCACCCUUUAAUGGCUGGUGUUCUAACGUAGACCCGUAAUCCGGGUUGCGGACAGUGUCUGGUGGGUAGUUUGACUGGGGCGGUCUCCUCCCAAAGAGUAACGGAGGAGCACGAAGGUUAGCUAAUCCUGGUCGGACAUCAGGAGGUUAGUGCAAUGGCAUAAGCUAGCUUGACUGCGAGAGUGACGGCUCGAGCAGGUGCGAAAGCAGGUCAUAGUGAUCCGGUGGUUCUGAAUGGAAGGGCCAUCGCUCAACGGAUAAAAGGUACUCCGGGGAUAACAGGCUGAUACCGCCCAAGAGUUCAUAUCGACGGCGGUGUUUGGCACCUCGAUGUCGGCUCAUCACAUCCUGGGGCUGAAGUAGGUCCCAAGGGUAUGGCUGUUCGCCAUUUAAAGUGGUACGCGAGCUGGGUUUAGAACGUCGUGAGACAGUUCGGUCCCUAUCUGCCGUGGGCGCUGGAGAAUUGAGGGGGGCUGCUCCUAGUACGAGAGGACCGGAGUGGACGCAUCACUGGUGUUCGGGUUGUCAUGCCAAUGGCACUGCCCGGUAGCUAAAUGCGGAAGAGAUAAGUGCUGAAAGCAUCUAAGCACGAAACUUGCCCCGAGAUGAGUUCUCCCUGAGACUUAAAGUCUCCUGAAGGAACGUUGAAGACGACGACGUUGAUAGGUCGGGUGUGUAAGCGCAGCGAUGCGUUGAGCUAACCGAUACUAAUGAACCGUGAGGCUUAACCUU